rnacentral:rRNA from 1 species
GAUGAACGCUGACAGAAUGCUUAACACAUGCAAGUCAUUGGCGAAGCUGCGCUUGCGCAGUCUAGCCAAGGCGGACGGGUGAGUAACGCGUAAGGAACUUGCCCUGCAGACAGGGAUAACAGACGGAAACGACUGAUAACACCUGGUAUUGUCAGGCUGGCGCAUGCCGGCCUGAUGAAAGGAGACGCUGCAGGAGAGCCUUGCGUCCUAUUAGCUAGUUGGUGGGGUAACGGCCCACCAAGGCGAUGAUAGGUAGCCGGCCUGAGAGGGUGAACGGCCACAAGGGGACUGAGAUACGGCCCUUACUCCUACGGGAGGCAGCAGUGGGGAAUAUUGGACAAUGGGGGCAACGCUGAUCCAGCAAUUCUGUGGGCACGAAGAAGGUUUUCGGAUUGUAAAGUGCUUUCAGCAGGGAAGAAGAAAGUGACGGUACCGGCAGAAGAGGCGAGGGCUAAAUACGU